AGAGUUUGAUCCUGGCUCAGAACGAACGCUGGCGGCAGGCCUAACACAUGCAAGUCGAACGAGAAGCCACCUUCGGGUGGUGGAAAGUGGCAGACGGGUGAGUAACGCGUGGGAACGUGCCUUUCGGUUCGGGAUAACCCAGGGAAACUUGGGCUAAUACCGGAUACGCCCUUCGGGGGAAAGAUUCAUUGCCGAAAGAUCGGCCCGCGUCGGAUUAGCUAGUUGGUGGGGUAAAAGCCUACCAAGGCGACGAUCCGUAGCUGGUCUGAGAGGAUGAUCAGCCACACUGGGACUGAGACACGGCCCAGACUCCUACGGGAGGCAGCAGUGGGGAAUAUUGCACAAUGGGCGAAAGCCUGAUGCAGCCAUGCCGCGUGGGUGAAGAAGGCCUUAGGGUUGUAAACCCCUUUCAGCGGGGAAGAUAAUGACGGUACCCGCAGAAGAAUCC
rnacentral:rRNA from 1 species